UACGGAAGGCAGCAGUGGGGAAUAUUGCACAAUGGGCGCAAGCCUGAUGCAGCCAUGCCGCGUGUAUGAAGAAGGCCUUCGGGUUGUAAAGUACUUUCAGCGGGGAGGAAGGCGAUGUGGUUAAUAACCGCGUCGAUUGACGUUACCCGCAGAAGAAGCACCGGCUAACUCCGUGCCAGCAGCCGCGGUAAUACGGAGGGUGCAAGCGUUAAUCGGAAUUACUGGGCGUAAAGCGCACGCAGGCGGUCUGUUAAGUCAGAUGUGAAAUCCCCGGGCUUAACCUGGGAACUGCAUUUGAACUGGCAGGCUUGAGUCUCGUAGAGGGGGUAGAAUUCCAGGUGUAGCGGUGAAAUGCGUAGAGAUCUGGAGGAAUACCGGGUGGCGAAGGCGGCCCCUGGGACGAAGACUGACGCUCAGGUGCGAAAGCGUGGGGAGCAAACAGGAUUAGAUACC
rnacentral:rRNA from 1 species